GUCGGGGUAGCUCAGUUGGUAGAGCAUGGGACUCAUAAACCCAAGGUCGGCGGUUCAAUCCCGCCCCCCGACA
rnacentral:tRNA from 1 species